rnacentral:rRNA from 1 species
UACGGGGGGGGCAAGCGUUGUUCGGAAUUACUGGGCGUAAAGGGCUCGUAGGCGGCCAACUAAGUCAGACGUGAAAUCCCCAGGCUCAACCUGGGAACUGCGUCUGAUACUGGAUGGCUUGAAUCCGGGAGAGGGAUGCAGAAUUCCAGGUGUAGCGGUGAAAUGCGUAGAUAUCUGGAGGAAUACCGGUGGCGAAGGCGGCAUCCUGGACCAUGACUGACGCUGAGGAGCGAAAGCCAGGGGAGCAAACGGG